UUACUUUAGCCUACACAAAACUUAGCUGAACCUCAUUUUUUUCGUUGGUUGCGCAAGUUUCCAGUACAGUUUCAUAUAAUUAAAUGCGAUUUGUUAAUAUUGGUGUCGAGGUCUGCACGAUAUGCGAUAUUUUCGUAGCAUAUAAUCUAAAUGCGAUGAAGUUUAAAACAAAGUUAGGCUAGUUGUAGUAGCCUAUCGCUGACUGCGGCACCGCAUGUUCUUCAUAAAACUCGUUAUGCUAGCUGUGCCAUGAGAGGGUUAGACCAGUGCAAUACACACUAGGUUGAUAAAAUGUUCAGAGACGGGAAAUUAAUAUUGCUCGUUUAUUAAAACGUGCCUCUGCAGAGAGAACACAACAACACCGCCUCCAACAGAACCAGAAGAGGACGUUGCAUCGCUCAUGUUCCCACAAAGCCUUGCAAGCGACCUUACAAUGAAAUUUAAUACGUUUUUUUACGUUUCGGCGCCAUUUUCGAUUGGGCUGGAGGUGUUCUGAUGGCCCUUCAUGACCAGGACAGUGAGCCGGUUGCUGUAGGCCAGGCUGGGGCCUUGUGAGAACUGGUGUGUGGACCAGCCAUUACCGCAGACGCUGAAGCAUUUUACAUGGCCGUGGUACUUGUGUGGGAUGGAAAAGAGGAGGUGGGGGAGGGGAGUUUUCUCAUUGAGGUGGGGAGAGGAGAUGUGUGUACACUGAGCUUGGGACUUCCCCCUCCCACCCCCCGCACGGUUUACCCACCGCAGAUGCAUUUGCGCCCCCAGCACUGCUGACUGUAUGGCAGGAGAUGAAAUGUCUCUUGGAUCUGAUCUUUAGUGUGUCCUCUGCUUUAGAAAUGCUGAAAGCCGGGCGUGCGGUCUGCUCUAACCCUUCUGUGCUGGCUGUGAUGUGAUCUGAGACGGGGGACAGAGCCGGCCUAACUUGCCGUCGAUUUAAAAAUCAAAUUCAACAGCACGUCAUGGUUUGUAGAGACAUGGAGAUGCAGACCAUGAGGAGCUGCCCCUCCGGCCCCAGCCCUCUUCUCCCUCGCGCUCAGCCCAUUGGCAGGCGUCCGGCGAGCCCCCAGGAAGCGGAGGGGCGUGUCCGUGGGCGGUGCCGUAGCAGCACGUAAACACUGGAGUUGGCCUGCCGUAUCCAGUGUUGCUGUUCUGCUCCAGUAACGCCUGUCCGUACCCACGCCCGUUCGCUCUGCUCAAGACUUCCACGCUGCAGUUUUUUAAAAUUUAAAAUUUUUUAAUUGAGUCAACAUGGGCUGUGUCCAGUGUGGGUGCAGGUUUUUGUUCUUGCUCAGCACCAAUAUGCGCGGUUCAACUUAGUCAUUUUUUGAUUGAAGAUCGUGGUUAGUCGAUUUGCGUGGGCGUUUCGGUGCCGGGACAAAGCAAAGGCCUGCAGCCACGCCCGUCCGUUCUCAGUUUUGAUUCAACACCCCUGCUGUACGUCUUGGAUUGCAUCAGAAGUCGUCAUAAUAAUGUAUGAAAACCAAAAAAAAAUGUUACUGGUUAAAUAAAUCACUCUUGGGGCCAAAUGCGAAUAAGUGGAACUGUUAAGCUUUUUGUGAGGUAUGCAUUCAUGUGAUCAUCUUUUUAAAUUUUAGCUGUUGAUAUUUUUUAGUUGUAGCAACAGUAAUAUGCCUUAUAAAGCUCUUUUCUUACUUUUUCUUGUCCACAGCACUAAAUGUUUUAAUAAUGUUGUAUUUCAGUUUCAAAUAAAAACUUGAAAGUAA